rnacentral:rRNA from 1 species
UACAGAGGGGGCAAGCGUUGUCCGGAAUUAUUGGGCGUAAAGAGCUCGUAGGCGGUCUGUUACGUCUGCUGUGAAAACCCGGGCUUAACCCUGGGCUUGCAGUGGAUACGGGCAGACUAGAGGCAGGUAGGGAGAAUGGAAUUCCGUGUAGCGGUGAAAUGCGCAGAUAUCGGGAGGAACACCGGUGGCGAAGGCGGUUCUCUGGGCCUGACCUGACGCUGAGAGC